GCAACAGUGUACAGAGUCCAGUCCUCACCGGCCAUGUCCCUCUCUGGGCAGCAGUUGGGUGUCUCACAGACUGGAGGAGGCUGUCAUCUGGAUUCCGCCCUCAGCCAGAUCUCUUACACUCAGGGAAGAUUCCAGGUGUCCUGGGGAGUAGUGACUCAGACACUGGACUUCCUGGUUCUUUAGACACAAACCCAACACUAUUCUGAACUAAAGCUGAUUGGAACACAGCAGUUUCACCCUGAACUUUACCAAGAGGCUACUUUCAACAGGACAGAUCCAAAUUUCACCUUGAAAAAAAAAAUCCCACUUAAGAGUUGUGGACGCAACGCUAUCACACUCUUUCGAGUGACGUGCAAUCUUGGAGACGAUCCUCAGCGGGCAAGACUCCUCAAUGACCCAAGCGAACCCAGUACAGUGCCCUGUGGCUCAAGUUCACGCUGUGUAGCCGGAUGACCUGCUCCCGGGAUGAGUAAUUGAAUACAAGUGCAUAAAUGGAAUUAUUUUCCCAUUGUCUCCAUGUUCCCAUCGAGCGUAUGUAAAUGGGCCUUUUACCUCUGACAGCCUUUCAUGGACGCCUCCAGCUUGGCAGCUGUGGAAUCAGCUUUACCUGCCCAUCUCUCAGUGCCUCUGCUGCCGGGAUUGAUUUUUGAGACCAAAAGGCAACAUAAAGGACCCUAAAUACACGAAAGCCCUCUGCACAUAGCUUUAUUUACACCCCCACUGAAGAUCUAGGCUCUGGAGAGCCUUAGCCACAAAGUGAAACCAAUCAGGUCUCACGGACGUGACUGGCACAGGUCCCAGGAAGCCGUGGAAGGACCCUUUGUCCCUGGGCAGAAACAGAUGGCGACUGGAUAUCGGUUCUCCUGUGGGACAUCACCGGGGUCCCCCAGGUGAAAUUCACUGGGUACCAAUGCCUCAGGCAGGCUGCUUUUUCUUUUCAAACGUCUGCCUGCCUGAAGUCUCCAGAUCCAAGUUCACCGUGGAUGAAGAUGGGUCAGGAAGGCCCAUGCAAUGGGUUUUAUUCCCCUGUAGGUGUCAUCUUUCCGACACAGGUUCUGAGCAGGAGUACUGUCCUCUCAGAAGACCAUAUCUCUGCUGUGUACAUCUUCCCUGGACUUGGAGGGAUCUGAGAAAUGGAGAAGGGGAGUAGGCUGCCUUUGUGUGUUGGUGGCUUCUGAAGCGCCCUCUCAACAGAUAUCUUUUGAAUGGAACUUGCUUGAACUGGAGUUUCAGCUGCUAGGACAUCACAUGGAGUUUUCAGAAGAAACUAUGUAUGUAAGUUUUCUCUCUCUCUCUCUCUCUCUCUCUCUCUCUCUGUGUGUGUGUGUGUGUGUGUGUGUGUACCAGACAUGGAACACUGGGCCUUGUGCAUACUGGGCAAGCACAUCCUGCUGAGAGUCACUACUUCCCCAGGCCUCGAGGCCAAGGUGUUUGUUUGUUUGUUUGUUUUUGUUUUAUUCCAGAUGACACCUAGUAAUUGUAUAUAUUGAGGGGUACCGCAUGCUGUGUGCCAUGUGAACCUUCUAAGCCCACCACCAGC